CCGUGGUUAGAUAAUGUAGAGGCCCCCAAUAAUUAUUUUGCUAUCAGGUAGCAGUUCCCAGUAGGUGGGGCCGUACACUCCCCACCACACUGUGAGCAUGCCUUUUUUGGGGUGAAGGUCGGGUUUGGCGGCAUCCUGUGGGGUCUCUC
ensembl:ncRNA F49E11.12 ncRNA